ensembl:snRNA LOC120095711 U6 spliceosomal RNA
UCUUGAUUAGGCAGGACAUACACUAAAAUUGAAAUGUUAUAUAGAAGAUUAUCAUGAUUCCUGCAAGAAAAUAACAGGCAAAUUUUUGAAGUGUUCCAUAUUUUU